UAGGGGUUAGCCAAAUGGACAAGGCGUUAAGUUUUGAUCUUAAUUAUUAUGGGUUCAAGUCCCUUACCCCUAA
rnacentral:tRNA from 1 species